GACGAACGCUGGCGGCGUGCCUAAUACAUGCAAGUAGAACGCUGAAGAGAGGAGCUUGCUCUUCUUGGAUGAGUUGCGAACGGGUGAGUAACGCGUAGGUAACCUGCCUUGUAGCGGGGGAUAACUAUUGGAAACGAUAGCUAAUACCGCAUAACAAUGGAUGACCCAUGUCAUUUAUUUGAAAGGGGCAAAUGCUCCACUACAAGAUGGACCUGCGUUGUAUUAGCUAGUAGGUGAGGUAACGGCUCACCUAGGCGACGAUACAUAGCCGACCUGAGAGGGGGAACGCCCCAACUGGGCCGGAAACACGGCCCAGACUCCUACGGGGGGCAGCAGUAGGGAAGCUUCGGAAAGGGGGGAAACCCUGACCGAGCAACGCCGCGGGGGUGAAAAAGGUUUUCGGAUCGUAAAGCUCUGUUGUAAGUAAAAAACGGGUGGGGGGGGGGAAAGUUCACCCUGUGCGGGUAGCUUACCAAAAAGGGCCGGCUAACUACGU
rnacentral:rRNA from 1 species